rnacentral:tRNA from 1 species
AAGUGAGAAGCAAAAUAUUUGCAAUCAGUUUCGACCUGGUCCUAGAUAAAAAUUUAUCCUCACUUU